rnacentral:rRNA from 1 species
CCUACGGGUGGCAGCAGUGAGGAAUAUUGGUCAAUGGACGAGAGUCUGAACCAGCCAAGUAGCGUGAAGGAUGACUGCCCUAUGGGUUGUAAACUUCUUUUAUAUGGGAAUAAAAUGUUCCACGUGUGGGAUUUUGUAUGUACCAUAUGCAUAAGGAUCGGCUAACUCCGUGCCAGCAGCCGCGGUAAUCAGGAGGAUCCGAGCGUUAUCCGGAUUUAUUGGGUGUAAAGGGAGCGUAGGUGGAUUGUUAAGUCAGUUGUGAAAGUUUGCGGCUCAACCGUAAAAUUGCAGUUGAAACUGGCAGUCUUGAGUACAGUAGAGGUGGGCGGAAUUCGUGGUGUAGCGGUGAAAUGCUUAGAUAUCACGAAGAACUCCGAUGGCGAAGGCAGUUCACUGGACUGCAACUGACACUGAGGCUCGAAAGUGUGGGUAUCAAACAGGAUUAGAUACCCCAGUAGUC